UAGCCCAAGUCAUCACCCGACCCGUCCCGUCCAAACCCCUUUCCCCUUUAGGGACACGAAAUAUACGUGACCCCUUCCAGAUUUUUAUGUUGGUCUUCAUAUAAAAACACAUCAGAUCCCAGGAGGGGGGCUGGAGAAACCAUUUAAAAAAAGGGCUUGAAACUCUCAAAAAUCUGAGAUUCGAGACUCCUAAAACGGAGAAGCGGGGAUCGGAGCCCUUUUUCUUCUUCUUCCGAAUUGCAUUGGUUCCCUUUCUUCUGGAAUUCAUCUUCAUCUAUAUAUGCUGAAAUCCUUGAUUGCAAGUGGAAAUUGUAGAAUCUAGACCUGAAAUUUGAAGGUGAAGAAGCUAAUUUUCCGCCUCGAAAUUUACUUUCUUUUCCACAUUUUUCUGGGAAUUUCGGAGCUUAAUGAAGCUGUAAAAUUGCUUCAAAGCUGAGAACGGUUUGGAACUGUUUGAUUGUGAGCUUGUUGUUGUUCGUUGACUGGAGCUCCUUGAGUUUCGCUUCUAUGCACGUUCAUAUUCUCUGUCAUUUUCUAGUGAAUCAUGAAUAAGAAAUGUUACUUGUCUGUGUUUUAAUUCUGUUCAAAUUCAUAGAUCUAGUAUGUAUGGUUGUUAAAUUGGUUCAAUUUCCCUCUCUGUUAAAUGUAUGAAAUUAUCAAUAUGAUCAAGUAAGCUAUGCAAAUUGUUAGAUGUUAAGGAGUAAUUUGUUGUUUGUUGUUGGUAAUCAACCAUUGCUAGAAUUUCAUUUGCAAUGCCCACAGAUCUAUCGUGUAAGUGGUUUGAAGAAUUGAAGGUGUUCAUUUGAAAUGGCAAGUUUUGUUUUGUUCUGCAUUUAUUUUCAUGGCAAGUUUGAAGGUCAGCUUUGUUCGAUUUGUCCAAUUAGUUUUCAAGUUUGAUUUGAAUUCUAGUGGUGUGAAUGCACAACCGUUAAUACGGCGCAGGGAUUCGAACUUGUGAAUGAAGCAGUAACUGCUUAUUUCGUCUUGGGUCUGUGUUCCGUCUGAUCCAUUUCAGACGUUAGGACCAGUUUUGAAAGGUCACUAACAUCUGAUUACAAAAGUGCUAGUUUAAUUUCUUAGCAGUUGUUUGGGUCAUCUGAUUUCAUUCCUACGAUGAAUUUGAUAUUUAAUUUAGAGUGUUUGUCUUCAUUAUCCUUUUUUAGUACCUUUUUCUUUGAUGUUGAAGACCUGCUCUUGAGUACAAAGCAUUAACUUAGAUUGCUAAACUUGAUAAAUUUGUUGAUAUAAUAGCUACAGAUAUGGGUAAAUGGCUAACAAAUAGACAUGCUUUUCUCAACUUCAUUUUUCUUCUUUCUUUUCUCAUAUAAAAAGGGGAAGGAUGUGAGGUUUGUGAUUUGGUUCAAAGUAGGAGAGUGCCAAGGAACUGAUUUCAUGGAUUAAUAUUAGACUUUAUUGAUCUUGUAGCUAAGAAACUUGGUGAAGGUUCAGUUCUGGAAAGUGUUUAUUAGUUGUGAAC
rnacentral:lncRNA from 1 species